UGUCUUAACAUUUUAGUGUAAAUUACCAAAAGUAAUCUGUAGUACUUUUGCUGCUCAAGCCAAAAUGUAAACUAUGGAGCUGAAUCCUUGUGGAGAGAAACAUACAGAAAUGUAACUGAAAAUAUGUGUAUUACCUUCUGAUGAAAAUAAACCAGGUUUACGUUUUAUAACACGCUUCCACGUGCAAUCGGUGUUUUUUUUUUUUCUCAUCUUAAGGGUGUCCACAAACUGGACAAUAAAUUAGUCAUAUCUGAACGGGUCCACUUUGAAGAGACAUAUUUAUCUUCUUUUUGCUGACUCAUUUAAAUUCUACCGUACCUGACCUCUUUCCUUCUCACUCUUCUUUCCACCAUAUGAACCAGUGUUCCUCACGUGAGUAGUUUCAUAAAACUCAAUAUCGACUAUUCCUGAUCACCUUCCUACUAAUUUUUUUUUUUUUUUUUUUGAGAUUUGUAUAAACAUUUACGUUACAUUGCAGGAGUAGCUGCCUAAAGUUUUAUCUGGGCAUGAUAUUAAAGUUAUGGUGCAUGAACCUUUACACCUUACAUGAAUUUAAGAGAUUAUGGGCAGAGUAAGUCUGGAAGAGGUGAGUUUUCAGACCCUUUUUAAAUGUGGACAAAGAAUCAGCAGUUUUGAGUGAGAGAGGGAGGUUGUUCCACUACAACAGAGGUAGAACUAAGUACCUCCAUGCUUUACCUUUCGUGCAGGGGACCACCAAGUGGGCAAAUGUGGAAGAGCAUAGUGGUCUGGUUGGCGUGUAGUCUUGUCCAUACUGUACUGCAGAAGAGAAGAAGCUGUGGGGGACAGAUGGCAACAUAGUGGUUAGAGCUGCUGCCUUUGGACCCAACGGUCACAAGUUCCAAUCCCCACUCCAGCUGUUGUACCCGUCAGCAAGGUACUCCCUCUAAAUUGCCCCUGUAAAAUAACCCAUCUGUAUGAAUGUAUAAGUAAUUAUAAGUCACUUUGGAGAAUAGUGUCAGCUAAAUGAAUAAAGAUUAGAAGCCUUCCCCA
rnacentral:lncRNA from 1 species